rnacentral:rRNA from 1 species
ACACAUGCAAGUCGAGCGGUAGCACAGGGGAGCUUGCUCCCUGGGUGACGAGCGGCGGACGGGUGAGUAAUGUCUGGGAAACUGCCUGAUGGAGGGGGAUAACUACUGGAAACGGUAGCUAAUACCGCAUAACGUCGCAAGACCAAAGAGGGGGACCUUCGGGCCUCUUGCCAUCAGAUGUGCCCAGAUGGGAUUAGCUAGUAGGUGGGGUAAUGGCUCACCUAGGCGACGAUCCCUAGCUGGUCUGAGAGGAUGACCAGCCACACUGGAACUGAGACACGGUCCAGACUCCUACGGGAGGCAGCAGUGGGGAAUAUUGCACAAUGGGCGCAAGCCUGAUGCAGCCAUGCCGCGUGUGUGAAGAAGGCCUUCGGGUUGUAAAGCACUUUCAGCGAGGAGGAAGGUGGUGAACUUAAUACGUUCAUCAAUUGACGUUACUCGCAGAAGAAGCACCGGCUAACUCCGUGCCAGCAGCCGCGGUAAUACGGAGGGUGCAAGCGUUAAUCGGAAUUACUGGGCGUAAAGCGCACGCAGGCGGUUUGUUAAGUCAGAUGUGAAAUUCCCCCCGGGCUCCAACCAUGGGAUAGCUGGCCAUUUGAACACUGGCAAGCUUAGAGUCUCGUAGAAGGGGGGGUAGAAUUCCCAGGGUGUAGCGGGUGAAACUCCGUAGAGAUCUGGACGGAAUACCCGGUGGCGAAGGCGGCCCCCCUGGACGAAGACUGACGCUCAGGUGCGAAAGCGUGGGGGAGCAAACAGGAUUAGAUACCCUGGUAGUCCACGCUGUAAACGAUGUCGAUUUUGGAGGUUGUGCCCCUUUGAGGCGUGGUCUUCCCGGAGCUAACGCGUUAAAUCGACCCGCCUGGGGGGAGUACGGCCGCAAAGGUUAAAAACUCAAAUGAAUUUGCACUGGGGGGGCCUCCGGCACAAACCAGGUGGAGCAUGUGGUUUAAUUCGAUGCAACGCGAAGAACCUUACCUACUCUUGACAUCCAGAGAACUUUCCAGAGAUGGAUUGGUGCCUUCGGGAACUCUGAGACAGGUGCUGCAUGGCUGUCGUCAGCUCGUGUUGUGAAAUGUUGGGUUAAGUCCCGCAACGAGCGCAACCCUUAUCCUUUGUUGCCAGCGGUUCGGCCGGGAACUCAAAGGAGACUGCCAGUGAUAAACUGGAGGAAGGUGGGGAUGACGUCAAGUCAUCAUGGCCCUUACGAGUAGGGCUACACACGUGCUACAAUGGCGUAUACAAAGAGAAGCGACCUCGCGAGAGCAAGCGGACCUCAUAAAGUACGUCGUAGUCCGGAUUGGAGUCUGCAACUCGACUCCAUGAAGUCGGAAUCGCUAGUAAUCGUAGAUCAGAAUGCUACGGUGAAUACGUUCCCGGGCCUUGUACACACCGCCCGUCACACCAUGGGAGUGGGUUGCAAAAGAAGUAGGUAGCUUAACCUUCGGGAGGGCGCUUACUCACUUUGUGAUCACAUGACUGGGGUGAAGU